AACGUAGGUGGCAAGCGUUAUCCGGAUUUACUGGGCGUAAAGCGUGUGCAGGCGGGUUGACAAGUGGGGUAUGAAAUCGCCAGGCUAAACCUGGCGGGGUUAUGCCAGACUGUUUAUCUGGAGUGCGAGAGAGGGGCGUGGAAUUCCGGGUGUAGUGGUGAAAUGCGUAGAGAUCCGGAGGAACCCCAGAGGCGAAGGCGGCGCCCUGGCUCGCAACUGACGCUCAGACACGACAGCAUGGGGAGCGAACGGG
rnacentral:rRNA from 1 species